CGGUGAUGUGCGUGGUCGGGUGCGGCCGUACGGGGCGCGAAGGGUCCGAGCGGGCAGCGGGGAUCCGGGCCCGCAGCGUUCCCGCAGAGCAGGGCCGGGUGCGGGGAGAGCCGGGAGCAGCGAUGGGCACGGAUUGGUCCUCCGACGGCGCGGGAUGCAGACGGUGCGGUGCGGGGACGUGUCCGAACUGAGCCCAGCCUUUGUAUUCAAAUCUCCCCCGGCCGCGCAGCUGGGGGGGAAGAGAGUUUUUUUUUUUUUUAAAUUUUUUUUUUUUUUUUUUAAAGCUGUGUCCUCAUUAACCUCCUUUUUCUGCUCCGCUGGGUGAAAGGCGCAGACCCCCUUAUUAUCAGAGCUGUCAGCAUCUUUGCGCGGAAAAUGAGUGUCAAGUAGGAGCGGGAGAAAGGUUCGCACAAUGGCGCCUUUCUCCCCCGGCCCAGCGGGGGGGACCCUUUCACACGGGCGCGGCGGGGCCCCGGGCCGGGGCGGUGCGAAGGGGGUGGAGACGAUCCGCGGGGGGCGGGGGCGCGGCCGGAGGAGCCCCGGGGCACGGCCCGAGAACCCGGACCCCGCCCCGUAACCGAGCGCUGCCCCUCCGCCCCGACGGCGGCCCCUCGACGGCGAACGCUGGGCGUGGGCAAUGCCCGUCUCGGGGCUGCCUCGCCCCCCGCCCCGCCGCGGCGGCUGGGAUGGAAGGAUGGGGCCGGUGCUCGUCUGCGGCCGCGCAGCGCCCUCCGCAGGCAGCCCGUGCUCGGAUCCAGCACGUGUGGGGCACGGGUCGGGCUGAGCGGAAGCACCUGAGGGCCCCGGGUCUGGCACAGCUCCAUCCCCAUCUCCAUCCCCAUCCUUAUUCCUAUUCUCAUCCGCAUUCCCAUCCCUAUCCCCAUUCCCAUCCUCAUAUCCAUCCCUACUCCUAUUCCUAUCCCUAUCCUCAUCUCCAUCCCCAUCUCCAUCUCCAUCCUCAGCCACUGCGCAGCAGAGCCCGGAGCGCCGCUUUCACCCCCCCU
rnacentral:lncRNA from 1 species